rnacentral:rRNA from 1 species
AUACGUAGGUGACAAGCGUUAUCCGGAUUUACUGGGCGUAAAGGGCGUGUAGGCGGUCUUGCAAGUCAGAAGUGAAAUUCCUGAGCUCAACUCGGGCGCUGCUUCUGAAACUGCAGGACUUGAGUGCUGGAGGGGAUAGCGGAAUUCCUAGUGGAGCGGUAAAAUGCGCAGAUAUUAGGAAGAACACCGGUGGCGAAGGCGGCUAUCUGGACAGUAACUGACGCUGAGGCGCGAAAGCGUGGGGAGCAAACAGGAUUAGAUUCCCUGGUAGUCCACGCCGUAAACGAUGAAUACUAGGUGUAGGGGGUAUCGACUCCCUCUGUGCCGCAGUUAACACAAUAAGUAUUCCGCCUGGGGAGUACGGCCGCAAGGUUGAAACUCAAAUGAAUUGGCGGGG